rnacentral:rRNA from 1 species
AUUGAACGCUGGCGGCAGGCCUAACACAUGCAAGUCGAACGAGUGGCGGACGGGUGAGUAAUGUCUGGGAAACUGCCUGAUGGAGGGGGAUAACUACUGGAAACGGUAGCUAAUACCGCAUACCUUCGGAUUUACCCAGAGGGGAUUAGCUAGUAGGUGGGGUAAAGGAUCAACUAGGCGACGCUCCCUAGCUGGUCUGAGAGGAUGACCAGGCACACUGGAACUGAGACACGGUCCAGACUCCUACGGGAGGCAGCAGUGGGGAAUAUUGCACAAUGGGCGCAAGCCUGAUGCAGCCAUGCCGCGUGUGUGAAGAAGGCCUUCGGGUUGUAAAGCACUUUCAGCGGGGAGGCGUUACCCGCAGAAGAAGCACCGGCUAACUCCGUGCCAGCCGCCGCGGUAAUUC